GACGAACGCUGGCGGCGUGCCUAAUACAUGCAAGUCGAACGCAGGGGGGACGGGUGAGUAACACGUGGGUAACAUCGCAUAUGAGGGGAGAACACUUGGAAACAGGGGCUAAACCGAUACUGAUGGAUGGACCCGCGGUGAAUUAGCUAGUUGGUGGGGUAACGGCUAACCAAGGCCACGAGGCCGAGCCGACCUGCGAGGUUGAUCGGCCACACUGGGACUGAGACACGGCCCAGACUCCUACGGGAGGCAGCAGUGGGGAAUAUUGCACAAUGGGCGCAAGCCUGAUGCAGCCAUGCCGCGUGUAUGAAGAAGGCCUUAGGGUUGUAAAGUACUUUCAGCGGGGAGGCGUUACCCGCAGAAGAAGCACCGGCUAACUCCGUGCCAGCAGCCGCGGUAAUAC
rnacentral:rRNA from 1 species